rnacentral:rRNA from 1 species
CGGGUGAGUAACGCGUGGGUAACCUGCCUCAUACAGGGGGAUAACAGUUAGAAAUGACUGCUAAUACCGCAUAAGCGCACAGUGCUGCAUGGCACAGUGUGAAAAACUCCGGUGGUAUGAGAUGGACCCGCGUCUGGUUAGCUAGUUGGUGGGGUAACGGCCUACCAAGGCGACGAUCAGUAGCCGGCCUGAGAGGGUGAACGGCCACAUUGGGACUGAGACACGGCCCAA